AGUGGCCAAAAUCUUUCACCUUCACCCAAAAUUUUCUCUUGUUUGAUUCUUUAAUUUUUCCCGCGUUUCUUCCUCCUCUCUACUGCAGUUUCCAGCUUCAAAUGAUUAUUCGCUUUAUCUUCUUCUUCUUCCUUCUGUUCUCUUUGUAUUUCCCUAUCAGGUCUUCAAGCAAUGGAAGUACGGAAGAGGAGAAAACAUUAGCUAUGAUAAAGCCUGAUGGAGUGUUAGGUAAUUACACUGAAAGGAUAAAAAUGGUUAUUGUGGAGUCUGGUUUCAGCAUCAUUAGGGAAACUAUCACUCAACUUGAUGAGCACCGUGCUUCAAACUUUUAUGUUGAGCACUCUUCAAAAAGUUUCUUUUCAGGUCUUAUCAAAUACAUGACGAGGUAUCUUCAUUUCUAAGUUAUUCUUUUGUAAUAAUCAAUUGAAGUUGAACUUAUACCGUAGGCCUUUAUCUUAAUUACAAUUGUUGCUCACUCUUUGUUAGUUCCUAAUUAAUUAUACAUUGUUGCUUUUUUAACAACUGGAGCAGAAAAUAAUGCAAGCAAUUUUUAGGUCUGAUUUUUUACCUUUUUCACCAACUCAUUCUUUUUGCAGUUUAUGAACCAAAUUUGUAAUGCUUAGCAAAAAAGCAGAAACAUGUACUCAUUUUCUUUUAUAUUGGUUCACUGGUAUGAUUUCAAAUUCACCUGAACCAUGAGGAACUGGAUUUCCUAUUAUAAUUAAAAGUCUUUUUGAAUUCUUAAUUUGUUGCCUAGUUUCAGUCUUCCUGUCUCUCCUCUCCUUUCCCUGCAGUUAUCACUGAGGAGAAGCCUAUAUUGGAAGUCUUACAUGAAAAUAGUUAGCAUUCAUCCAUUGUAGUUAGGCUUGUAUGACAAUGAAUUCUGUGUGCUCACGUAGAAUAGUUAUAUGAGAUUGCAGUGAUGGAUCCUUGCCUGGAUCACUAUGCAGCUCUUAUUAUAUUAAGGUUUGGCUCUCAUGAUUCUCUGUGUUGGUUACUCAUUUGGCAUCUGUAACAUCAUUCUGUUGUUUAUGAUAUAAAAGUGAAAAAAAUGCUUUCACUGUUUUGCUCUAUUUUAUGUUGAUACAGCUUUUGUCAGUGGUCCAGUAUUGGUUAUGAUAUUGAAGAAGGAAAAUGCGGUUGCUGAUUGGCGUACUCUAAUUGGACCAACUGAUGCACAAAAAGCUAAGAUUACUCACCCUCACAGCAUCAGAGCAAUGUGUGGGUUGGAUUCAGAAAAGAAUUGUGUUCAUGGUUCAGACUCUCUUGAAUCGGCUCAAAGGGAAAUUUCCUUUUUCUUUGGGGAGAUAUCCUCAGGUGAUGCUGUUGGAGAGCAUGACGAACUCUGAAUGGUAAGAAUUCAGAGCAGAAUUA
rnacentral:misc_RNA from 1 species